GCUCCUGCUCGAUGACUAUGGCCUAGACUGAUAUAGGCAGCAUGUUCUCCGCAGAUUGUUCCCUCUCUGGUGAGGUGAGACGGACUGCACAUUCAGACAUAGCAUGUGCAUCUGAACCCAUAGCAGAGUCCUGAAGGGAAAAUACAAUUACUUUGUGUGUCAAGGCAACAAUGUGUUGGAACUACUAAAGGAAUUAUAAUUAUGCUUGCUUGUUUCCCCAGAAUCAAACAGAAAGUGAAGGCAGCUUUGUUUAUUUAUUCAGACACACCCAAUGAGGUACUGAAAAUGCUUUCUGAAGCUGUAGGAGGAAUAAAAGCCCUGACCAUAGUGCUUGUGGAUGUGCUGAGGUGUGUUGUGCCUGCCGCUCCCCGACCUGGACCAGCUUCAAGCUACAGGUGUGCUGGCCUUGAACGUGCUGCUGGAAGAUGUGAGGGAUGAGCGGACGGUUCACUCAAGCCCCCAUGAGUUGGCUCUGGCUCGACUGGGAUCUAAUAUUUUAGCGUGAAUCCCUGAAAGUGGAAUUUCUGGGUCAAAGGAGUUUAAAAAAUCCAAAUUGCAAUUCAUGUCUCCACUACUGAACCAAGAGAAUGUCCGGUGGGCAGAAGUGUGCGGUACCAGUGAGAUCUACAGCUCUGGUUCCUUGCCAGGGAUCAGAGGUUCCACAGCUUGCUCGAGUUUGUACAACCCAAAUACCAGAAAUUAAAGCAUUUCAUGGGCUCCUCAAAGCAUCGAGUUCUUGGUGCCAUGUCCAUGUCACCCUGGAAGAAAAGAAAGGGAGGAAGAGGAAGAGAAGAACACAGCCAAAGGGGGAAGACGUAGUAAAAGAUUCUAGGGAAAGGAAAGCAACCAUGGCGGCGGGAGAGAUACCCACAGAAAUGAUACAGUAAGUUCAUCCAAAAAUGGAAUAUAAAAGUAAAAAUGGC
rnacentral:lncRNA from 1 species